UACGAAGGGGGCUAGCGUUGCUCGGAAUGACUGGGCGUAAAGGGUGCGUAGGCGGUUGUUUAAGUUUGGUGUGAAAUCUCCCGGCUCAACUGGGAGGGUGCGCCGAAUACUGAAUGACUAGAGUGCGGGAGAGGAUAGUGGAAUUCCUGGUGUAGCGGUGAAAUGCGCAGAUAUCGGGAAGAACACCCGUGGCGAAGGCGGCUCUCUGGGACGGUACUGACGCUCAUGCACGAAAGCGUGGGGAGCAAACAGG
rnacentral:rRNA from 1 species